AUUGAACGCUGGCGGCAGGCCUAACACAUGCAAGUCGAGCGGAGCGGCGGACGGGUGAGUAAUGUCUGGGAAACUGCCUGGUAGUGGGGGAUAACGUCCGGAACCGGGCGCUAAUACCGCAUACUAUCAGAUGAGCCUAGGUCGGAUUAGCUAGUUGGUUGGGUAAAGGCCUACCAAGGCGACGAACCGUAACUGGUCUGAGAGGAUGAUCAGUCAAACUGUAACUAAGACACGGUCCAGACUCCUACGGGGGGCAGCAGUGGGGAAUAUUGGAAAAUGGGCGAAAGCCUGAUCCAGCCAUGCCGCGUGUGUGAAGAAGGCCUUCGGAGUGUAAAGCCCUUUAAGUUGGGAGGCGUUACCAACAGAAUAAGCACCGGCUAACUUCGUGCCAGCAGCCGCGGUAAUUC
rnacentral:rRNA from 1 species